UCCCACUUUAGCGCAACAGCUGAUUGGCUGGCUCCCGUCUUAUCAUUAGAGUCAGAUGAUUCCCCUCCUCCUACCCGAUUCACUGCAGCUUUCCCAUUUCCAUAGCACCGAACAUUCGUUAAUCGCGACGCGUCAUGCUGUAGCCACCGAAUGCAAAGUGGGUACCAAUUAAAAACAUGGAUAGGAUACUGAAAGGAGUAAUGAAAUAUCGAAAAUGUCACAGAGAAGGAAUGGUAAAGCAGUUUCAGCAAGUGAGGGAUCAUCCCGAGCCCCAGGCAGUGUUCUUUACCUGCAUGGACUCCAGGAUGAUUCCAACAAGGUUUACGGAAACUAAUGUUGGAGACAUGUUUGUUGGUAUGAGUAAUACUCACCUGGACUUUAUCAUGCUCGCGUCUUGUUUUAACCUCAUUUUUUUUGGCGUUCUGAAUAUGUCAGAGAUAGAAUACAUACUGCUAAUUCCUUAGCAUCUUGAUCCUACAUCAUAGAGCUUAGCAGUGAGAAAUGCUGGUAACAUAGUGCCUCAUAGUCAACAUUUCAUCGAUGAGUUGACAAUGUGUGAACCUGCUGCUCUAGAAUUGGGAUGCGUUGUCAAUGACAUCAGGCAUGUUAUCGUAUGUGGACACAGUGACUGUAAAGCUAUGAAUUUGCUGUAUGCCUUGAGAGAUGAAGAAUUUGCAUCACAAGUAAACCGGAGAAUAUCACCACUACGUGCCUGGCUGUGCGCACACGGCAGCAGCAGUCUCGCCAAGUUUCAACAGCUCGAGAUCACGGGCUUCCACGAGCCUCUUCUAUUCCAAGCCGAGACGCCGCUCCGCAAAUUCGUCGCCUAUAUCGACCCGGAGGACAAGUUCGCGAUCGAGGAUAAGCUCUCGCAGAUCAACACGCUGCAGCAGUUACAAAACGUCGCCUCCUACGGCUUCCUUAAGCGUCGUCUCGAGAAGCACAAUCUACACGUGCACGCGCUUUGGUUCGAUAUCUAUACUGGAGACAUUUACUACUUCAGUCGAGCCAACAAACGCUUCGUCGAGAUAAACGAGCUCACGGAGACACCUUUGCUCAAGGAAAUCAAGAAAUAUUAUUCUUGAGAUGCUAUCGGAACACAUUUUUUGGGGACUCCAUACAUAAGUCAAGAGGCUACAGUUCGCCCAAAAUUUUGAGGGAUUGCGAAGCGCGCAAAUGUUUUCGUCAAUUAAGGAACAACGACGCACUCGUGUAAUGUAUAUGACUAUUAUCUAGAGCAUGAAUAUCGUACAAAUUCUAAUCAUCGACUCAAUGGGUUGUUGAAUCUCUGAUCGCAAUGUGAGUUCACACGUUGUGGAGCAUUAUAUCAAAAGCUUGAUCAAAAGUACCUUUGUAAAUCGUAGAUGUAAUCCAACGCAGGAAUUCUAUGAUUUUCAGUUGUCGUUGGACAAUAAUGCAUUUACAGAUUUUUAUUUAUAUAUUUUACAUACAGCCACAAAUAUAUUGUCUAUUUUUUUCACAAAAAAA